rnacentral:misc_RNA from 1 species
GAAAUGCGAUAAGUAAUGUGAAUUGCAGAAUUCCGUGAAUCAUCGAAUCUUUGAACGCACCUUGCGCCCUCUGGUAUUCCGGAGGGCAUGCCUGUUUGAGUGUCAUGUAGACUCAAUCCCUCGGGUUUCCGAGGAGAUUGGACUUGGGUGUUGCCGCUCUGCCGGCUCGCCUUAAAAGACUUAGCGGGAUAGCACCGUAGUCGGCGUAAUAAGUUUCGUCGGUGAAGGUUGUGAUGACUGCUUACAAUCGCCCUCGGGCAAUUUUUGACUCUGACCUCAAAUCAGGUAGGACUACCCGCUGAACUUAA